GCCUAGCUGGCUCAGUUGGUAGACCAUGGGACUCUUGAUCUCAGGGUUGUGGGUUCAAGUCCCAUGCUGGGUG
rnacentral:tRNA from 2 species